GACGAACGCUGGCGGCAUGCCUAACACAUGCAAGUCGAACGGUAAGGCUUCCUUCGGGAAGUACACGAGUGGCGAACGGGUGAGUAACACGUGGGUAACCUACCCUUGACUGGGGGACAACCGAGGGAAACUUCGGCUAAUACCGCAUAACGUGCAUUGCCUCAAGGUGGUGUACCAAAGCUCCGGCGGUUAAGGAUGGGCCCGCGGCAGAUUAGCUUGUUGGUGAGGUAACGGCUUACCAAGGCGACGAUCUGUAGCUGGUCUGAGAGGACGAUCAGCCACACUGGAACUGAGACACGGGCCAGACUCCUACGGGAGGCAGCAGUGGGGAAUAUUGGACAAUGGGCGCAAGCCUGAUCCAGCCAUGCCGCGUGUGUGAAGAAGGCCUUAUGGUUGUACAGCACUUUAAGCGAGGAGGAGGCUACUUUAGUUAAUACCUAGAGAUAGUGGACGUUACUCGCAGAAUAAGCACCGGCUAACUCUGUGCCAGCCGCCGCCGUAA
rnacentral:rRNA from 1 species